rnacentral:rRNA from 1 species
GAACGGUAACAGAAAGCAGCUUGCUGCUUUGCUGACGAGUGGCGGACGGGUGAGUAAUGUCUGGGAAACUGCCUGAUGGAGGGGGAUAACUACUGGAAACGGUAGCUAAUACCGCAUAACGUCGCAAGACCAAAGAGGGGGACCUUAGGGCCUCUUGCCAUCGGAUGUGCCCAGAUGGGAUUAGCUAGUAGGUGGGGUAACGGCUCACCUAGGCGACGAUCCCUAGCUGGUCUGAGAGGAUGACCAGCCACACUGGAACUGAGACACGGUCCAGACUCCUACGGGAGGCAGCAGUGGGGAAUAUUGCACAAUGGGCGCAAGCCUGAUGCAGCCAUGCCGCGUGUAUGAAGAAGGCCUUCGGGUUGUAAAGUACUUUCAGCGGGGAGGAAGGGAGUAAAGUUAAUACCUUUGCUCAUUGACGUUACCCGCAGAAGAAGCACCGGCUAACUCCGUGCCAGCAGCCGCGGUAAUACGGAGGGUGCAAGCGUUAAUCGGAAUUACUGGGCGUAAAGCGCACGCAGGCGGUUUGUUAAGUCAGAUGUGAAAUCCCCGGGCUCAACCUGGGAACUGCAUCUGAUACUGGCAGGCUUGAGUCUCGUAGAGGGGGGUAGAAUUCCAGGUGUAGUGGUGAAAUGCGUAGAGAUCUGGAGGAAUACCGGUGGCAAAGGCG